rnacentral:RNase_P_RNA from 1 species
GGAGUUGGUGAGGGGGUUGCAGGCUGACAUCAGCCUGAGGAAAGUCCGGGCUCCCCAAAGACCAGACUUGCUGGGUAACGCCCAGUGCGGGUGACCGUGAGGAGAGUGCCACAGAAACAUACCGCCGAUGGGGCUACGGCUCACAGGUAAGGGUGCAAGGGUGCGGUAAGAGCGCACCAGCAGCAUCGAGAGGUGCUGGCUCGGUAAACCCCGGUUGGGAGCAAGGUCGGAGGGGCUAUGGUUGGUCUUUUUCCAGCCCCGCUUUUGGUGUACCGCAUGAGGUGUCUGGUAACAGGCAUCCCAGAUAGAUAACCGCCCUCUGGGGGCAACCCGAGAGAACAGAACCCGGCUUAUGUCCGACUCCUUCU